AGGGGAUUAGUCCAACACAAGACCUCUGAUUUCGACUCAGAAAAUCGUGGUUUGAUUCCAUGAUCCCCUU
rnacentral:tRNA from 1 species